UGGUGUUGUUAGCGUGGUGGAACCACACCGAACCAUCCCGAACUCGGAGGUGAAACGCCGCAGCUGCGAAGAUACUAGGCGGGUGACUGCCUGGGAAAAUAGCUCGAUGCC
rnacentral:rRNA from 1 species